rnacentral:rRNA from 1 species
UACGUAGGGUGCGAGCGUUGUCCGGAAUUACUGGGCGUAAAGAGCUCGUAGGUGGUUUGUCGCGUUGUUCGUGAAAACUCACAGCUUAACUGUGGGCGUGCGGGCGAUACGGGCAGACUGGAGUACUGCAGGGGAGACUGGAAUUCCUGGUGUAGCGGUGGAAUGCGCAGAUAUCCGGAGGAACACCAGUGGCGAAGGCGACACGCUGGGCCGUACCUGACACUGAUGCGCGACAGCAUGGGGAGCAAACAGG